AUUGAACGCUGGCGGCAUGCCUUACACAUGCAAGUCGAACGGCAGCGGGCCUUCGGGUGCCGGCGAGUGGCGAACGGGUGAGUAAUGCAUCGGAACGUGCCAUUGAGUGGGGGAUAACGUAGCGAAAGUUGCGCUAAUACCGCAUAUUCUGUGAGCAGGAAAGCAGGGGGACCGCAAGGCCUUGCGCUCUUUGAGCGGCCGAUGUCAGAUUAGCUAGUUGGUGAGGUAAAGGCUUACCAAGGCGACGAUCUGUAGCGGGUCUGAGAGGAUGAUCCGCCACACUGGAACUGAGACACGGUCCAGACUCCUACGGGAGGCAGCAGUGGGGAAUUUUGGACAAUGGGGGGCAACCCUGGAUCCAGCCAUGCCGCGUGAGU
rnacentral:rRNA from 1 species